rnacentral:rRNA from 1 species
GACGGAGGGUGCAAGCGUUGUUCGGAUUGACUGGGCGUAAAGGGCGUGUAGGCGGUCGGCCAGGUCUGAUGUGAAAGCCCGAGGCUCAGCCUCGGAAGUGCGUCGGAAACUAGUCGGCUGGAGCGCGAUAGAGGAGGGUGGAAUUCCUGGUGUAGCGGUGAAAUGCGUAGAUAUCAGGAGGAACACCGGCGGCGAAGGCGGCCCUCUGGAUCGUUGCUGACGCUGAGACGCGAAAGCGUGGGGAGCAAACAGG